CAUACAUCAGGGGACAUUUGCAAAUGUGGUCCUUUAACCUCUCCUAUGUUUCAUGAAAUUUCUUGUCAUCAAUUUAAGAAAAACUAGUGACGGCUCACCUGAUUUG